UUAGUUUUCUUUUACAUUCCAAUCUGUUAACCCUGUUCUCAGCUUAUAUGGAUACACUUAUUGAACUGUUUUUUUUCUAAUCCAGGCCCUUGGUUAGAAAUGUCCUCUACUCUUGCUCUCACCUGAUCACCAUGUCAGUCUGCUCCUCUGCAGUGGAAACUUCCAUCUCUGCUCAGUCACUGCUGUAGCCACGCCCCCUCAUCAGAACAACUGCUCCCACCUGCUCCACCCAGUACAUAAACAGCUCCACUCCCUGCACUCCUGUUUAGAUCUCCACCAUCUUCUCCCAUGCUGAUGGUCCAGCACUUGUUUCCUGACUGUUUCUCUGAUCUGGAGCUGACCUUCAACCUUUGACCUUGUCUCUGCCCUGGAAGCGCCGGUGAAGCAGAUGUACGUCGGUGUUUUCUUCAGUAACUGCCAAGUAAAGACAACAUUCAUUGAUGGUGAAUUAGAAAUAUAUCAGCGUCUAAUUGGUCACAAAUAUUGAAGCGUCCCGUGGCACAAAUGAUGACACUGUCACGUUUUUGACUCGAGCCCAGGAGUACAGUCUACUGUGGGCCGCAGCCCACUAAAGAAAGCCAACUCGUAAUAUUCAUCGCAGAUCCCUCGUAACUCUCUCACUCUCACUCUGGCUCACUCUUCCACCCAUUCAUUCAUUCAAAAACUGUGACAAGAUGAUCCUUUUACGUCUGAUUUAUUUUCUAUUAUUCUUAUAGUUAUACUUGAUGUAUUUUUAUUUUUCACAAAAAUAGUUAUUUGGCAAUGUAGGUACUGAAAAAGCAAAUAUUCUCAUUGUUUUUUGGUUUAUCAAAUAAUUUUGUUGGUCGAUAACAUAAUUUCAGAUUAUAUUAAAUGUCAACCAAAGAUUAACAUUAAAAGUAGUAUUUGUUUCAUGAAUUUGUGCUCAUGGAUGGUGAUCGGCCAUGUUGUAAACAUCGCUGUCCCAGUCGCUGCGUAACUCUUCCAUCUAUUGCUUUUCCGUUCUCCUGCCUCUAUUUAUUUCAGUCGACGUUGUGUACGGCCAAGGGAGAAGUACAAAACCGAAGGUUCAAUCUUAGUUGCUGUAAUCUGUUGUUCUUUUAACUGAAGGAAUUAUUUGCACUGUAACUGAUGUUGGAUGUUGAUGUGGAAGAUGAUGCACAUAGAGGAGGGAUGAUGAGGGAGCAGUGGAAGUUGGGGCGGGGGGGGGGGGUAGAUUCACAGGUUAUAUAGGCCUAUAGCCCCAGGCCACUGUGUUGUUUAAAAUGUAAAUCUAUUGACUCCUGUGGUGCAGUGGCACACUCUGUUUCACUGAUGAAGUUUCAGCAUAAAACAGUAAAUACAUGAAUUUCUCAGAUUGCUGCCAAUUCCUCUCCCUUCAUUUGGCAUGAUGUGUAAUCUCCAACAGUUUUUUUUUUUUUCAUCAUCUGACUUAUUUUGAAAAAAAUUAAUGCAUAUGUCAGGUUACUAUGGAAUCCCAUCACGGAUCCUUUCAUGAGGUAACAGGCUUUGGUGUCGGCAUUACAGCUAUGACCAAAUAAACAAGAUUAGUCGACUAGUCUAGAAAAAGACGGUUGAACAGGAAUAAGAAGAUCUUGCUUGACAAAUCAGAAAUCUAUUUCCAACUUUGGUAUUAAUGAAGAUGCUCUUACGUUUUUAUCAGUGUGCACACUUGCAUUAUUCGCUAUUAAGUGGUGAAAAAGGGGAGAGAAUUUGAACCCUGAAGAGGCGUUCUGUAAAUUCUCUAAGGCUGUUAAACCAUGUCGCUCCAGAGCACUUUUCCAUUUUUGCUUUUUUGGGUGUUAAUGUCAGACCAGAUGCAUUCAAUUGAAUUGUUUUGUUGAACAUUCUCCCUUCACAAACAGGGUUUUCUUUCUUUUUACAGCUGUGUACAGUCUGUCUGCGAAGGUAGAUUUCAUCUCAACGAGUCAACCCUGAGCUCAAACUAAUAGCACUUUAAUUUGAAUAACUGAAUUGAACUGAUUAUGUUGGAAAGUUAGCCGUACCACAAACUGCCAGGCCACAGUGUGUUAUGGUUAGUGCGCCUGCCUUGGAAGCAGAGAGUCUUGGGUUUGAUUCCCAGAGGAACCACAUGCUUGAUCAUGUUAAUCCUCCUCUGUUAGUCGCUUUGGAUGAAAGUGUCUGCUAAAUGAUUGAAAUGUAAAUAAAUGAUCUGCAUUUUUUAAAA